AUUAGGAGUUAGAAAACACCGCCUUAAUUUGAUUUAGGCUGAAAUACUAUCAAUAGCACCAAACUAUUUGCCUUUUUAAUUUGACUUAGGCUGGAAUACUAUCAAUAGCACCAAACUAUUUGCCUUUUUAAUUUAACUUAGUUUGGAAUACUAUCAAUAGCACUAAACUAUUGAGUAUUGAUACUAUUAAGUUUUCGAUCUUUAAAUGAAAAAAUAUACGGUUAGAAUGAUGUGGACUCUCUUAAGUUGAGUAAAUUAUUGAUUUAAUAAUAUAAUUUAAUAGAUAAAAAUAGUCAAAAAGUUAAAUCUAACUGCAGAAAAUUUAAUAGCACCAAACACUUGGCGCUAUCGAUAGUAUUACAGUCGGACUCUCUUAAUUUUUUUAAUUAAUGAUUCGAUCCGCC
rnacentral:lncRNA from 1 species